CUGAGGCGUGAUGACGAGGCACUACGGUGCUGAAGCAACAAAUGCCCUGCUUCCAGGAAAAGCCUCUAAGCAUCAGGUAACAUCAAAUCGUACCCCAAACCGACACAGGUGGUCAGGUAGAGAAUACCAAGGCGCUUGAGAGAACUCGGGUGAAGGAACUAGGCAAAAUGGUGCCGUAACUUCGGGAGAAGGCACGCUGACACGUAGGUGAAGUGAUUUACUCAUGGAGCUGAAGUCAGUCGAAGAUACCAGCUGGCUGCAACUGUUUAUUAAAAACACAGCACUGUGCAAACACGAAAGUGGACGUAUACGGUGUGACGCCUGCCCGGUGCCGGAAGGUUAAUUGAUGGGGUCAGCGCAAGCGAAGCUCCUGAUCGAAGCCCCGGUAAACGGCGGCCGUAACUAUAACGGUCCUAAGGUAGCGAAAUUCCUUGUCGGGUAAGUUCCGACCUGCACGAAUGGCGUAAUGAUGGCCAGGCUGUCUCCACCCGAGACUCAGUGAAAUUGAACUCGCUGUGAAGAUGCAGUGUACCCGCGGCAAGACGGAAAGACCCCGUGAACCUUUACUAUAGCUUGACACUGAACAUUGAGCCUUGAUGUGUAGGAUAGGUGGGAGGCUUUGAAGCGUGGACGCCAGUCUGCGUGGAGCCGACCUUGAAAUACCACCCUUUAAUGUUUGAUGUUCUAACGUGGACCCGUAAUCCGGGUUGCGGACAGUGUCUGGUGGGUAGUUUGACUGGGGCGGUCUCCUCCUAAAGAGUAACGGAGGAGCACGAAGGUUGGCUAAUCCUGGUCGGACAUCAGGAGGUUAGUGCAAUGGCAUAAGCCAGCUUGACUGCGAGCGUGACGGCGCGAGCAGGUGCGAAAGCAGGUCAUAGUGAUCCGGUGGUUCUGAAUGGAAGGGCCAUCGCUCAACGGAUAAAAGGUACUCCGGGGAUAACAGGCUGAUACCGCCCAAGAGUUCAUAUCGACGGCGGUGUUUGGCACCUCGAUGUCGGCUCAUCACAUCCUGGGGCUGAAGUAGGUCCCAAGGGUAUGGCUGUUCGCCAUUUAAAGUGGUACGCGAGCUGGGUUUAGAACGUCGUGAGACAGUUCGGUCCCUAUCUGCCGUGGGCGCUGGAGAACUGAGGGGGGCUGCUCCUAGUACGAGAGGACCGGAGUGGACGCAUCACUGGUGUUCGGGUUGUCAUGCCAAUGGCACUGCCCGGUAGCUAAAUGCGGAAGAGAUAAGUGCUGAAAGCAUCUAAGCACGAAACUUGCCCCGAGAUGAGUUCUCCCUGAGACUUAGAGUCUCCUGAAGGAACGUUGAAGACGACGACGUUGAUAGGCCGGGUGUGUAAGCGCAGCGAUGCGUUGAGCUAACCGGUACUAAUGAACCGUGAGGCUUAACC
rnacentral:rRNA from 1 species